GAGAGAAGGCCAAGAAAAAUUUAAAAAAAAAAUUAUUUUCAAGCUGCCAAGGGGGCAGUUCUAGGAACAAGACCUCAUUUUCCUGAUAAUCUAGAAAUUGGCCUUCUGAUAUGUCUAUUGAAACCACUCUAGGGCUACACUUUUGGAGACAAGAAAAGAAAGAUGCCACAUUUUAAAUCAAAACAUCCUGGGAGUGCCCAGAAGAGCUAGAAGAGUAUAAGGAAGCCUGUGGGCUGCUUUCAAAGAUGAGAAAGACAAUAGCAUGAAAGAGGCCAUUCAUCCUACUUGAGCUUUAAUCAAGAAACAGAAUGAAAGGAAAUAAAACCUGGGCUGUGGAACAACAAAAGACCAUCAUUACCAUUACCGAGGAAUCUCAAACACUAUGGCAAGAUGAAAACAACCUUCCUGCUAAAGCUGUUAACUGUUAUAGAAAAUCCCUACUUCCUAACAAUGAGCUGCCAGAACGACAAUUUCUGCCACAGCACUAAGUCAACAUCAUUAGAAAUGCAAAAGGGGGAAAAUGGUAAUCUGGUGUAUUUAGUAAAAGGCCACAUUACUGUGAUAAUACUCACAAAUAACUAUGUAAAAAACAAGCUAUUUAGAAGAUAAAUCAAGAAGAAUUAAUGGAGAGAAUGAAGAAUUACAAGAGAAUGAGAACAUCUUUCUUCAGAAGUGAAAGAGAGAAUGCAUUUGGAAAAGAAAAUUUAAAAAAUCCGAGUCUAAAUCCAUUCAGACAAGUACAAGAUGCAAAUGAGAGAAAUAAGAAAUAUCAGAAAACAACAUUACUACAACAAUGUACAUGGAAAGAAAACAACAAAAAAUGAAAGUGAACAAUGUAUUUAAGACAACCGAGAUUGGGACUUGGAACUAUAGAUGGAUGGGUUGAAGCAUUUCUUUACCUGUCUGAAAAAGUCCAAGAAGGGGUAAAGAUUCUCCAGAAGGAAACCAUCCCUGGGUUGUGACCUCUUACAUUCACUCCAUAUUUACAAAGUGCUGGUCUUUACCAUAGAGGUAACCCAACAUAUAACAGGGACCCAACUGAUUAAAUAUCACCUGCACUUUGCCUGGCAUCCCCGUUAUCAGGAAAAGUAGAGAAAAUGAGUCAUACUGACAAUAAAAUUCUUGGGUUCAGACACUUCCCAUUGGGCUCCUAAGGACAUUCAUUGCCUCCUCAAGCAGAUUUAGACUUAAGUCGAUUAGAGCUCACAUACAGGAGACCUUUCCUUACUGUAGACACACUAGGAGACCUAGGGUAAUAUGCUCUCAACCAUGUCAUUCAAUGAGUAGUAGCCACUCACUCAGUAUUUCACCAUUAUGCAAACAUGCUUCUGUCUCUGUGGUACCUGAUGCAGAGGUCCCAUUUCCAUAUCCAGAAGAUCUGUUUUACCAAAAAAUCUGGAGACUGGAUGAUUCAGCUAGUCAACCACAUUCUAAGUGGAAGGACUCUUCCAUAUCCAUCUUGGUCACCUUAACUGCUAUAAAGCUGGAGGGGCAGCCAACAUACACUCACAUUUCUCAUUUUAAGUCUUUCCUCCAUCUAGGCUCAGAGAAUAUCUCUGAGACACCCAGAUACUCCUAUGAACCUCUACAGUGGGGAUUUGGAGUUCUUGUUCAAGAACAAAAAAUGAGCAACCCAGAAACCAAAGUGACCUCU